rnacentral:rRNA from 1 species
GACGGAGGGUGCUAGCGUUGUUCGGAAUCACUGGGCGUAAAGGGCGCGUAGGCGGCUUCAGGAGUCGGAUGUGAAAGCCCGGGGCUCAACCCCGGAGGUGCAUCCGAAACUCUGGGGCUGGAGGCCGGAAGAGGAGGGUGGAAUACCCAGUGUAGGGGUGAAAUUCGUAGAUAUUGGGUGGAACACCGGUGGCGAAAGCGGCUCUCUGGUCCGGUCCUGACGCUGAGGCGCGAAAGCGUGGGGAGCAAACAGG